CAAACUUUCUUCCUGAUUUCCUGCAUUGCUUGAAAGAAGAAAACACGCUUAUGUUUAGAAAUAGAGUCCUGGCACUGUGGAAGAAAGAACGCACGGGAAUUACUAGGUCAAGCUCAGAUCAUUCAUUCAUUCAUUCAUUCAUUCCGAACUCAGCCUUUGGAGGGAUAGCCAUAUCAAUAAACAUGCAAAAUAUGCAAGAUGAAGUGUGCUGUCCCGCGGUUACUUCCUGAGUCAGAGGAAGAGAAAACAACGCAUUCUCUCUGGAGGAAUCACGGAAGACCUUCCACCCUUAACGGGAGGCAUUUGAGAAGAUAGAGGAACAUGUUAAAUGACACCAGCAAGUUCACAGGCGAGUACAGAGUAUAAGACGUUCUGCAAGACAACUAACCCAGAUUCUGCAGGAAAGAAAAAAAGAAAUGCAGGCGGAUGUGGGGCCUUCGUGAUGUCAUGAACCAGGGUCGAUCUUGUCCUACCGACCUCCAUUCAUGGCUUCCAUCCACGAUGUCAGAUGGCUCACACACGUGUCACCACUGCCUCCAUACUCAGGCCAGCAGAAAGGAGAAGGAAUUUUAAAGCAUUGUUAUGUGUUUGGAAAAGACAAGAGACCUCACGGAGUGAAUUUACAAUGCCGUGUGGGCCAGAUUUCCGAUCAUUCACUUCGAAUCAACUCCACAUACAACUUUCUGCUGCAGAUCAAGACAAGGAUCAGUCAUACGGAAACGUGAAAUGGUACUGUCUUUGAAAACUCAUCGCAACGUUUCUCGGGGCGCCUGGGUGGCUCAGUCAGUUAAGCGUCCGACUUCAGGUCAGGUCACGAUCUCAUGGUCGGUGAGUUCGAGCCCCGC